UCCGUAGGUGAACCUGCGGAGGGAUCAUUACCGAGUUUACAAACUCCCAAACCCUUUGUGAACCUUACCUAUCGUUGCUUCGGCGGGAUCGCCCCGGCGCCUUCGGGCCCGGAACCAGGCGCCCGCCGGAGGCCCCAAACUCUUAUGUCUUUAGUGGUUCUCUCCUCUGAGUGACACAUAAACAAAUAAAUAAAAACUUUCAACAACGGAUCUCUUGGUUCUGGCAUCGAUGAAGAACGCAGCGAAAUGCGAUAAGUAAUGUGAAUUGCAGAAUUCAGUGAAUCAUCGAAUCUUUGAACGCACAUUGCGCCCGCCAGUAUUCUGGCGGGCAUGCCUGUUCGAGCGUCAUUUCAACCCUCAGGCCCCCAGUGCCUGGCGUUGGGGAUCGGCGUGGGCGGCGACGGGCUCUCCGGAGUCCCGAGCCAAUGCCUGCCGGCCCCGAAAUUCAGUGGCGGUCUCGCUGUAGUCCCCCUCUGCGUAGUAGCACAACUCGCAUUGGAGCUCGGCGGUGGCCAUGCCGUAAAACACCCCACUUCUGAAAGUUGACCUCGGAUCAGGUAGGAAUACCCGCUGAACUUAAGCAUAUCAAUAAGCGGAG
rnacentral:rRNA from 1 species